AACGCGAAGAACCUUACCUGGGCUCGAAAUGUAGUGGAAUGGGGUGGAAACAUCCCCGUCUCGCAAGAGACUGCUAUAUAGGUGCUGCAUGGCUGUCGUCAGCUCGUGUCGUGAGAUGUUGGGUUAAGUCCCGCAACGAGCGCAACCCUUAUCCCUAGUUGCCAUCGGGUCAAGCCGGGCACUCUAGUGAAACUGCCUGGGAUAACCAGGAGGAAGGUGGGGAUGACGUCAAGUCCUCAUGGCCUUUAUGUCCAGGGCUACACACGUGCUACAAUGGUCGGUACAAACCGUCGCAAACCCGUGAGGGGGAGCUAAUCGGAAAAAGCCGGCCUCAGUUCGGAUUGGAGUCUGCAACCCGACUCCAUGAAGCUGGAAUCGCUAGUAAUCGCGGAUCAGAACGCCGCGGUGAAUACGUUCCCGGGCCUUGUACACACCGAGACGUA
rnacentral:rRNA from 1 species